AGCCGUAGAUGAAAAAAACAAAACAUUUUUCUGACACCUCUUAUGAGAGCUUAGCUCCUGAUUCCACGAAUGUUCUGAGGCUC